UACGGAAGGCAGCAGUGGGGAAUAUUGCACAAUGGGCGCAAGCCUGAUGCAGCCAUGCCGCGUGUAUGAAGAAGGCCUUCGGGUUGUAAAGUACUUUCAGCGGGGAGGAAGGCGAUGCGGUUAAUAACCGCGUCGAUUGACGUUACCCGCAGAAGAAGCACCGGCUAACUCCGUGCCAGCAGCCGCGGUAAUACGGAGGGUGCAAGCGUUAAUCGGAAUUACUGGGCGUAAAGCGCACGCAGGCGGUCUGUUAAGUCAGAUGUGAAAUCCCCGGGCUUAACCUGGGAACUGCAUUUUGAAACUGGCAGGCUUGAGUCUUGUAGAGGGGGUAGAAUUCCAGGUGUAGCGGUGAAAUGCGUAGAGAUCUGGAGGAAUACCGGUGGCGAAGGCGGCCCCUGGGACAAAGACUGACGCUCAGGUGCGAAAGCGUGGGGAGCAAACGAGGAUUAGGAUACUAACC
rnacentral:rRNA from 1 species